AUUAUGUUAUUUCCAUGUUUUCAAAGUGCUGUGAAUUGGUAAACAUGUAAAGCAAGAUUUGUCAACCUAGCCAGCCAAGUCACUUACUGCAAAGGGUUACAAAGCAGUGUUUCGUGUCAAACUGUUACUGCUUUAGAUUCACUAAAAGCCUACUACUACUACUCUGGUAAAUCACAUCAGCUUUAUCAGUUGACAGUUAAAGAGAAGCUGGAACUUUUCAUAAUAAAGGCAUUGGAGGCUUUACUUGACUUUCUUUUUAUGGUACCUGCUGUGUUGUAACAGAUUUUAAAAAGAACUUAACUGAUGAUAACGUAGUCUUUUUUGUUGUUAACUGUAAGCAAUUAUUUAAUUACUAAUAACCCGUAUUACGGGUUGCUUUAAUUGCGCCCGGUUAUAUACAUGAUAAACUUUAAAGCAGAAUUUUAUCAUACGAUUAUGGUGGCGAUAUGAGAGAACUACUGUGGCAGAAUAUUACUAUCGUAGAACAAUUUUGCAUCAAAUCAUUGUAUAAUAUUAGUUUUUUGUUGCUUAAAAA